rnacentral:lncRNA from 1 species
UUUAUUGCAAGUAUUUAUAGUAUAUUUACAUAUGAGUCAUAAAAACGUUAACAAAUACAACUAUUUUAUUUUUGAAAAUACCCUCUCACUUUUGAAAUAUGAUUUGUGCAUAUCAAACAUUAACCUUUGAAGAAAGAUUUCCUUCACUAAUAAUAUAUCAGGAAAUGUCUAUACAAUGGAAGAGCUAGUUAACAAGUGAAUAUAUUCCUUUGGUGAUGGCAAACCAUCAUUUUUACUUUCAUGUCAAUAUUUCAUUUUGUUAAACUCUAGUAGUACAUAGCAUCUCUACCACUAGUACCAGUUGGUACUACUGUUACCUAUCUCUGUAAGUUUAUUUCUUUUCAUAUGUAUUUUAUCUCUCAAGAGAUUAUAAGCAAUUUUGGAGCAGGAAUUAUAUUUCAUAUAUUUUUAUUUUCUACAAUGAGCAUUUUUAUUCUAUUAACACAGCAAAGAUUCAAUAAGUGAGUUUUGAAUUGCUAUUUUUAAGUAUGAGUUAUUAUGUGUGUCUCGGAGAGAAUAUCAUUACUUAAAAAUAUAGACACAUUAUUUUCAAGAAGAGAACUGUCUACUUCUGAGACAGAUCUGAUUUUAAAGGUGAGGUCCCCUGAGUUUAUCUUGAGUGAGCUAUGGUUAAAGGAAUUGAUUGUGACAGAGGUGGCUGAAGCAAAAUUUAAGUUAAACUAAUUACACAACCCCCAUCCAAUAUACCAAAAUACCAGAAGAAUUGUUAAAAUACAAACGUGCAGGAUGCAUAACUAUUGAGACGUCAAUUCGAUUCUAGGUCAACUUAGUGAAGGGGAACUCUCAGGAUGCAGGUUGAAAUAAUGAAGAGAUAUUUAAAGGAAACAGGAUAUCCAAAAUAAGGGUUUUCCAAGAGAAUUUAACCCCCUAGGAAUUCCCAAAAUGUUGGACAGCCACUUAAAUUUUCUGAGCUGUGGGAUAGCAGAUUCAAGCUAAAUUUAUUUAAAAUUCAAAGUAUAGAUGACAACAGCUGAUAUACAAGUUACUGUGGAAGGAACACUCAGUACCCUUUUCAAACUCCUUUUCCAGGUCUUCCUGUAUGAUUGUCUUGAAAGCUAAAAUCUGCAUUUUUUAGGCUUAACAUCAGAUAAGUUGUUGGUGUGUGUCUUCACAUCUGCCAAUCAAAUGUGUCUUCAUGAGACUCAAAGUGGAAAUGAGCAAAGCGAGAUGGAUACAGUGAAGCGAAGUACAGUGAGGUUUCCAUGAAUGGAGUGUCUGUGUAUGGUUGUUCAUAAACUUUUCUCGCUUUCCAUCCCUGGAUAUGUAGCUCCUGAGUGUGCAGAAUCUCAGCCUGGUUCUCUCCUCUCCUGAUGAGUCUGUGAGAAAACUAAUAUGCUUAAUAAAUCCCUAACUGCUAGAAUAGUUAGACUGGUUCUGUUAUCUGCAACUAACAAUCCUAUAGAAAUAAACAUAUGAACAUAUGCCAUAAUAAACCACAGUAUAACUGGCUUGUGAUGUAUUUUGAGAUAGGAAAAGAGUGUGGCAUCAUGAAUGCCAAGAAUCCUUUUGUAAUGGUAAAAUGCCAUAUACAAAAUAUCUUCCCCACUCCCUGAGUUACCCACUACCCCACCCCUCUACACACACUACAUAGAGACAAAGUCAAGGGAAAAAAAUGAGUUUGCCAUUUCUAGGGUUCUCUUUCUAUAAGAAGCAGUCAGGAAUAAGAAAUAGUAGACGAUUACAAAAGACUUGUUAAAUGUUUCGGCAUAGAGGAUUCAACAACAAUUUCCCCAAAACGCUAAUUUUUAAGCUGUGGUUAUAGGAAUGCGGAAAGUGGCCAAAAAUCGCUUUAUACUAGGAAUACGUAAACAUUUGACUCUUCUAGGUUCAAACAGAGAGCUGAAAUGAAACAGAAUCAGACAGGCAAUCUUCUGUAAAGCAGAAGAAUAUGAGCCAGGUGUUCCUUCCACAUAACAACUUGAUUCUGCUUACAAUUUCUCUCUACAUAGCUGAGGCCGAGGCAUCAGAUGGAACAUGAACUGAUUGAUACUAGGAGAAAGGUACAUACAACUGGGGGUACUUAUAAUACUAAGAAGCGUAGUGCAGUUGCACCAGAUUAUUCCAGAGAGGAGUGUUAUAUAAAGGCUGCAUCUAGCGCCAGCUUCGAACGCAGCUGAAGCAUCUGGUUAUUGGUUUGCAUAUGUUUUGCAGUGAGUUCUGAGCAUUGCUCAUCUUCAAUCGCAUUGCUUCUUUUUCUGUGGUCUGUGUUUUCAUCAAAUUACUUGGACACAUGCUGCUUUUCCUGCUCUGGCCUUUCCGCCUCCUGGAAGAAAGAAACAUCUUGAUGUUGAAACGAAUUGCUUUGUAGCAUUGUACACAGGUAUUAGAAAUAUUAUAGGCUUCAGUGAGGCCGUUAACUGUCUAUAGGAAUGCUUAUUGACUGUGAGUCAUUACAUAAAAAAAAGAGAGUAUCAUGUUGUGAUCUUAGAGAAAAGUGGACAG